GGGUUCAAAUAGAGGCGGCGGGUGAAAGUGGCCAUUUCGACUUGGUCUGGUUAAGUGAUCGAGUUGAAAAUGUGGAGGGUGAAAACACUGAAUCUCGGUUUGUCGCCUUCGCCCCAAAAGGGGAAGCCAGCUAUGAGUACUCCUCUCCGAGAGCUUAAACUACAGCCCGAGGCCCUCGCCGAUUCAGGGAAAGGUCCCUCUAUGAUCUCCGCGCUGACCCCAUACCUGUGCAGGCUGGAGCUGAAGGAAAGAUGCAACAACUCAUCUCCAGUGGAUUUUAUCAAUACUGAGAACAACUUCCUUUCAGAACAGUUCAGCCAUCCUUCAACGCACAUAGAAGCUUGCCAGCGUGAAUCCGAUCCAACUCCUGAAAGCAACUCUCUUUUCCAUACUUUGGAGGAAGCAAUAGAAACAGUGGAUGACUUUGUCGUGGACCCAAGAGAUGAUAGUAUAGUGGAGUCCAUGGUUCUUCUGCCCUUUUCAUUAGGGCAGCAGCAAGACCUGAUGCUCCAGGCUCACUUAGAUACCACAGCAGAGAGAACUAAAAGCUCUCUAAAUGAAUCUUUGGGGCUAGAAGAUCUGGUGGGGAAGGAGGUGGCACCUUGUGUGGAAGACAGCCUAACAGAAAUUGUUGCUAUUAGGCCCGAGCAACCUACAUUUCAGGACCCUCCGUUAGGACCCAGUGACACUGAAGAUGCACCUGUGGACUUAGUUCCUUCUGAAAAUGUCCUGAAUUUCUCUCUGGCUCGUCUUUCUCCUUCAGCUGUCCUGGCCCAGGAUUUCUCUGUCGAUCAUGUCGAUCCAGGGGAGGAAACCGUAGAGAACAGAGUCCUACAGGAAAUGGAAACGAGCUUCCCCACAUUCCCUGAGGAGGCCGAAUUGGGAGACCAAGCACCUGCUGCAAAUGCAGAAGCCGUCUCACCCUUGUACCUGACAUCAAGUCUAGUGGAGAUGGGGCCCCGGGAAGCCCCAGGCCCAACAGUAGAAGACGCCAGUAGGAUUCCUGGCCUUGAGUCAGAGACUUGGAUGUCCCCAUUGGCCUGGCUAGAAAAGGGUGUGAAUACAUCGGUCAUGCUACAAAACCUCCGCCAGAGCUUAUCCUUUUCUUCUGUGCUUCAGGAUGCUGCCGUUGGCAACACACCCCUCGCCACGUGUUCUGUGGGCACUUCCUUUACUCCUCCAGCACCACUGGAGGUAGGCACCAAGGACAGUACUUCAGAGACAGAGCGCCUCCUCUUGGGCUGCCGUCCUCCAGAUCUGGCUACCUUGUCCCGACACGACUUGGAAGAGAACCUGUUGAACUCUCUUGUCUUGCUGGAAGUUCUUUCCCACCAGCUACAAGCCUGGAAGAGCCAGUUGACUGUCCCUCACCGGGAAGCUCGAGACAGUAGUACACAGACUGACAGCUCUCCUUGUGGGGUCACUAAGACACCUAAACAUCUUCAGGACAGCAAGGAGAUUAGACAGGCUCUACUGCAAGCCAGGAAUGUCAUGCAAUCAUGGGGUCUAGUCUCUGGAGACCUGUUGUCCUUGCUUCACCUGUCCCUAACACACGUGCAAGAAGGCAGAGUGACAGUGAGUCAGGAGUCUCAGCGGUCAAAAACCCUGGUUUCCUCCUGUUCUCGUGUGCUGAAGAAAUUGAAGGCAAAGCUGCAGAGCCUCAAAACAGAAUGUGAGGAGGCAAGGCACAGCAAGGAAAUGGCCCUUAAAGGCAAGGCUGCGGCAGAGGCAGUACUGGAGGCUUUCCGUGCACAUGCCAGCCAGCGCAUCAGCCAACUGGAACAGGGUCUCACAUCUAUGCAGGAAUUCAGAGGCCUUCUACAGGAGGCACAGACCCAACUGAUAGGGCUUCACACAGAACAAAAGGAGCUGGCUCAGCAGACAGUGAGUCUGAGUUCUGCCUUGCAGCAGGACUGGACAUCAGUCCAAUUGAAUUAUGGAAUAUGGGCAGCUUUGCUGAGUUGGUCUCGAGAACUCACCAAGAAACUCACAGCCAAGAGCCGGCAGGCCCUUCAGGAACGUGAUGCUGCAAUUGAAGAAAAGAAGCAGGUUGUGAAGGAAGUGGAACAAGUCUCUGCCCAUUUAGAGGACUGUAAAGGUCAAAUCGAACAACUGAAGUUGGAAAAUAGUCGCCUUACUGCAGAUCUCUCGGCUCAGCUGCAGAUUCUGACUAGCACAGAGAGUCAGCUAAAGGAAGUACGGAGUCAGCAUUCCCGCUGUGUCCAGGACCUGGCCGUGAAGGAUGAAUUGCUGUGUCAACUUACCCAGAGCAACAAGGAGCAGGCUACUCAAUGGCAAAAGGAAGAAAUGGAACUGAAACACAUACAAGCAGAACUGCUACAGCAGCAGGCUGUGUUGGCUAAGGAGGUCCAGGACCUGAGGGAGACUGUGGAGUUUAUAGAUGAAGAAAGUCAAGUUGCUCACCGGGAGCUGGGCCAGAUUGAGAGUCAGUUGAAAGUCACGCUAGAGUUACUGCGGGAGCGCAGCCUGCAGUGUGAGACCCUCAGGGACACUGUGGACAGCCUGAGGGCUGAGCUGGCCAGCACUGAAGCAAAGCAUGAGAAACAGGCCCUAGAGAAGACACACCAGCAUUCUCAAGAGCUGCGGCUACUGGCUGAGCAGCUGCAGAGUCUCACCCUCUUCUUACAGGCAAAACUCAAGGAGAACAAGGCUGAAUCAGAGAUCAUUCUGCCCAGCACAGGCUCUGCUCCAGCCCAGGAACACCCUCUGUCCAAUGACAGCAGCAUCUCAGAACAGACCCCGACAGCAGCAGUAGAUGAAGUGCCAGAACCAGCUCCUGUGCCAUUGCUUGGAAGUGUUAAGAGUGCUUUCACCCGAGUAGCCUCAAUGGCUUCCUUUCAGCCUACAGAGACCCCAGACUUGGAGAAGAGCCUGGCAGAAAUGAGUACUGUGUUACAAGAGCUUAAGAGCCUGUGUUCCCUGCUGCAAGAGUCUAAAGAGGAGGCCACUGGGGUCCUGCAGAGGGAAAUCUGUGAACUACACUCGAGACUACAGGCCCAAGAAGAAGAGCAUCAGGAAGCCCUGAAGGCAAAGGAAGCAGACAUGGAGAAGCUGAACCAGGCCUUGUGCUUGCUCCGCAAGAAUGAGAAGGAGCUCCUGGAAGUGAUACAGAAGCAGAACGAGAAGAUCCUGGGGCAAAUAGACAAGAGCGGCCAGCUCAUAAACCUCAGAGAGGAGGUGACCCAGCUCACACAGUCACUUCGGCGUGCAGAGACAGAGACUAAAGUGCUCCAGGAAGCCCUGGAAGGCCAGCUAGAUCCCAGCUGCCAGCUGAUGGCUACUAACUGGAUCCAGGAAAAAGUGUUUCUCUCACAGGAGGUGAGCAAGCUGAGGGUUAUGUUCCUGGAGAUGAAAACUGAGAAGGAACAGCUGAUGGACAAGUAUCUGAGCCAUGGUUCAUGAAGCCUGUUUGCAUUGUAGAGGCACAUCCUGGAGGAGAAUCUUCGGCGCUCUGACACAGAGUUAAAGAAACUCGAUGACACAAUUCAGCAUGUCUAUGAGACUCUGUUGUCUAUCCCAGAGACUAUGAAGAGUUGCAAGGAGUUACAAGGAUUGCUAGAAUUUCUGAGCUAAGAAACUGAAAAUAUUGGAAUGCAGUGGUGUGCACCUGUAGUUCCAGCUGCUCCAGACGCCAAAGUUGGAGUGCUGCCAAAUCCCAGGAAUUUGGGAACCUAACACAGACAACACAGCAAAAACCCUGAAAAAUGAAUUCCACUCCACUCCAGUUUCCUUCAGGGCUCUUUAUCCCAACCCUUAUCCCAAUAAUAAGACCAAUUGGCAUAGAGCCGACCAUGUUUUAUGUUAUUUAAAUAAAGUGUAUUUAAUGUAGUC